rnacentral:rRNA from 1 species
UACGAAGGGGGCUAGCGUUGCUCGGAAUCACUGGGCGUAAAGGGUGCGUAGGCGGGUCUUUAAGUCGGGGGGGAAAGCCCGAGGCUCAACCUCGGAACUGCCUUCGAUACUGCGGGUCUCGAGUCCGGGAGAGGUGAGUGGAAUUCCUAGUGUAGAGGUGAAAUUCGUAGAUAUUAGGAAGAACACCAGUGGCGAAGGCGGCUCACUGGCCCGGUACUGACGCUGAGGCGCGAAAGCGUGGGGAGCAAACAGG